CUGGGAGGACACUGGCAAUAGCAAUUGGUAUCUCGGCCGGGGUAGCAGCACUCGUAGUGUUCAUCUCUUUCCUCAGAAAAGCAUGCUCAAGCUAGCUACCCCCACAAGGCAGAGAUGAAGAAGGGCUCGCACCGACCGCGCGCAGCAGUCGCUAACAAUUUUUAUCGUCUUCGUGAAAAGCACGACGGCCGUCGAGCUCGUACCGUAACUACAGCUAUCGUCACAUUGAUUUUGCCGGGGAUAGAGAAUUAGAGAUUCACUACCUGCUUGGGCUCUUUAAGCUGUCCGAGCAGCGGUGUCUGUUUAUCAGUCUUUUAAACUUAUAGUGUUG
rnacentral:lncRNA from 7 species